CAAAACCGUAUACAUAUAUAACCUACAUUAUUCUGGCUCCACUUUCAAAAUUCAAUCCCUCUCUCAAAUCCAGAGCACCUCCUUCUGCUUCAAACCCUAAAACUCCAUCCGUACAGAGACGAUUCUUCAUCUAAUCAUCUUUCAUCCCUACGAUUUGAAACCGGAUUUGAUUAAUCUCAACAAGCAGAUGUUUGUUCUUGCACGAGCUGUGAUCACAAUAAUACUGAUCGAUCAUGAUUGGGACUUCGAUUUGGAUUGAUUUUACUGUUUUUUGAUGUUUUUAGAGUUGUUGGUUGUAGGAGUCUUAGGAAUUAGGUAAAACCAUUGGAUUUUGAAUCUCUAGCAGUUACGAUUUAUCAUUUGGUCUCGGAUUUUGUUUUCGAUCACAUGUCUGUUUCAGGUGGAUUCUGGCCAGGUGGUUAUGAAGGGAAGUGGCAGAUGUCCAGUGACUGUUGGCGGUGGUAGAUGGUAGUAGACAACAACAACAACCUGGACAAAUGUAGAUUGCUGACAAAUCCCAAGUGUAUACUCAACAUGCUUACAUGAGACCACUUGGAGUAGUGGCCAUGAUUUUGGGUAUUGAUGAUGAGAAUGGACCUAGACUUUUCAAAUGUGAUCCAGCUGGCCACUUCUUUGGUCACAAGGGGCAUUUCAAGAAACAAACAGAAACAGAGAUCAACCUUAAAUACAUAGAUCCUACGUACAUGAUUCGAGCUGUUCCAAGUAAUGCAUCGGAUAAUGUUUACUGCGCUCUUCUGGCUCAUAGUGCGGUUCACGGAGCCAUGGUCGAGAAUGUUACCUACCGUUUUACAGAAUAACUGAGAAACAAAACAAGGUUGUAAUUACUGAUAGGAUGUGGGCAAGAAUGUUAUCUUCAACGAAUCAACCGAGUUUUUUGAAUACGAAAGAUAUCAUUGAGUCAGACAUGGAUGAAGCACCACCAACUCAGUUGCUAGAUGACCGGGUGCUGGAUAACGGGUUUGUGACCAAGGAAACUACUGUUUGCUGAUUGUGGUCGCGCGAAUACACUCUUUUUUUCAAGUUGCAAGAAUUAAAUAAAAGUCUUGGAUCACUCAUGUGUGUAUAUAUAUACGGUAUAACGUAAUGGCUGGUAUAUGAGGGCUGUCGGUUUAGAUUUUCAUGAUCUGUGAAACCGAGAUGAUGGCUGCUUUAUAUUUGCAAGUCAGUAUUGUGAGCCAAGCUCUCAUCUUUGUCACCCGUUCUCGUAGCUGGUCGACCCGGCUUCUUACUGAUGGGUGCUUUCCUUGCAGCACAACUGGUAACAACUUUAAUUGCGGUAUACGCAGAGUGGGAAUUCGCAAGAAUCAAAGGAAUCGGAUAGAAAUGGGUUGUCGUUAUCUGGCUUUACAGUAUCGUGUUUUAUUUCAAACUCUUGAUAUAAUGAAGUUUACGAUCAGAUACAUAGUGGCAAGGCUUGGCUCAGCAUGAUUGACCAAAGGAUAUAUUACUAUAUUUCAAUAAUUUCAUCAUUCACCAAUAACCUUAUAUCCUAAACUUUAAUGAUGAACACUAAAACUUAACAAAACAUUAUGUGUGUUUUUGUGUAGACUGCUUUCACAACAAAUAAGGAUUAUGGAAGAGAAGAAAGAGAGGCCCAAUGGGCUCAUGCUCAAAGGACUCUUCAUGUGGCUCCAUGCACCCAAUACCUCAACCCUCUUCAACGAAAAGAGCAGCUACAGAGAAUUGUCUUGUCUGAAAUCGCUGAAUAGGCCAAACGAUGUGCUGAAGUUGCAAGGCUUUGAGAGCUAGAAGGGAUAACUAAAGCGUGAACAGUUGAAUGUACUCUUUCUUGGGAUAACUAAUGCUGUCGUUUCUGUCCAUACUUUUAAGCGGCACCAGAUCCCUCAUCGCCUGCAACUAUUCUAUAAGUUAAGGUAUCUCUAAGUUUCGGUUUCCUUUUUAACAAGAAAUAGCAACUCCUUCGUGAUUAAAUGGGUCAUGUUCACGGGAUUAAUCGAACACGAAACCGGGUCGACCAACAAUGGCCACAAUUCGCAGAGCUACAGAUCAAUGAGCAACUAAGAGAAAUACAUUGGGUCAAAUGAUUGUCCUUUACUUUGCAUUAACUCCUCCAAAGGUCGAUUAGUUAAUCACAAACUGAAUCCAUGGGAUCUGUAGGGUUUAAAUGCUUCACCCGGUCAGCAUCUUAGCUAUUAACAAUGAGGAUAUAGAUGAUUAGAAGGAUUUUGUUCUUGAUCUGUCACCCAAAGUUAUGAUUCCUAGCAUGGAGCAAAGAAUCCGUUUUCUAAAUGAGCAGGUCAUCUUUAUUUCUACUCAAAUUAGUUAUAUUUUAAUUUUGAAUCCGUACUCAUCUUCAUUAUGUAUGCCGUUAUAGAUCUCUACAAAUAUGAUAACAGAUAUUAUGCCACUUUGCUGCAUUUUGAUAAUGAAAUUUUUGGUGUAGAUAUUAUGCCACUUUGUAAUGAGAACUUCUCAUCUGUGUAUAUUAAAUCGAAGGCUAGUUAAACAUGUUUGUGGCUAUUAUUAUUGUAAAACAACAAAUGUGGUGUAUAAAGAAAUAUUUAACGACCAGUGAUUUUUUUCUA